AACAAACGCUGGCGGCGUGCCUAAUACAUGCAAGUCGAACGGGGAAAGUAGCAAUAUGAGUACUAGUGGCGCACGGGUGAGUAACGCGUGGAUAAUCUGCCUUGAAGAGGGGGAUAACUAGUCGAAAGAUUAGCUAAUACCGCAUAAGACCACAAGAACUGAGGUUCAAGGGGUCAAAGGUUUUUCGCUUCAAGAUGAGUCCGCGUAAGAUUAGCUAGUUGGUGAGGUAAUGGCUCACCAAGGCAACGAUCUUUAACUGGUCUGAGAGGAUGAUCAGUCACACUGGGACUGAGACACGGUCCAGACUCCUACGGGAGGCAGCAGUAGGGAAUAUUGCACAAUGGAGGAAACUCUGAUGCAGCGACGCCGCGUGAGUGAUGAAGGCCUUCGGGUCGUAAAGCUCUGUCGCAGGGGAAUAACACAAUGAAUGUACCCUGUAAGAAAGGAUCGGCUAACUUCGUG
rnacentral:rRNA from 1 species